UCAGAAAUUCAAAUAUCAAAACCAUCAUUUUUAAAAUAUAAGGACUGAAACCAUUUUUGGUCAACUAGUUGAGAGACUUAAAACACAAUUUACCCAAACAUAUCAUGUGACUUUCAAUAUCUGAUUUUGCUCAAUUGUUCUGCUUCUUCGAUAGGAAUCUUAAUGUUGCUGAGGAUGAUGAUUUUGGUAAGGAUGCCAAUGAAGAUAGUGGAGACCUAGUUUCGGGACUUUACUGCAAGAUUGUGGUUCAGUUUGAGAAAUAUAGAGACUCUCAUGAUGCACUGAAAGUUGUUUGUGGUCGGUCAUUGCAAAAGCAAGGAUCACGAUUGAAGGCCGAUUACGAGGUUUGUUGGGACAGAGAUGGAUUUUUUCGGAAUUCAAGGAAUCAAACUAAGGCUACCUGCCUAGAGCAUGACAAACAUAGGGAUUCAUGGGCUUUAACUCAAUCCUACAAAACUGGCUUGUAAGGUGAGGAUUACUCCCUACUUAUAUAGUUUAUUAUUAUCUUUAUUCGAUAUUAGACUUUAACAUGCUCCAUUUUUCUCAUGGUUACCCGUUACAUGAGACUUUCAACACACUCAUCUAUCUAAGUGUGAACACAAAACUCAGAGAAGAGUAACAUGGUAUCCACAAGGGCAGCAGAUCAUUGCAGAAGUGAAGCUCCCACACGUCAGGCCUACAACUCUCGCCACAGUCCAGAUAAUGUGCGCCCAAGGAGAUUCAAGGAAUGAGGGCUGAAAGCUUUUUUAAUGUCUGGGUACAAAUUGGAAAAUUUUGAUUGUGGACUGACUCAAGUUUGGUACAUCAGCUGCAUACAAUUUCUAGGGGUCAUUGACUUGGGUCAACUCAAGCUUAUGACCAAGAAUUAUCUUCGGAAAUCAACUUUACUGACUUUAGAAUUCAUUGUUCCAAAAUAUGGCGAGCAUUAAAACACUGCUAUUUUUACGGAUCCACAUUCUUAUCCCAAAUAAUAAAUAUCCUUUGUUGCUGUGCAAUCAGUUAUCAUUUUAUUUGCUAAGUUGUCGAGCCAAAAUCUUAGGUUGGAUGAAUUGAGUUAAUAUCAUUUGGAUGUGUUGUAAAAUGAUAGUGAGAAGAAUCGUACUUUUCAAUUUCAUGUUGUAUCUUUUUGAACUCGUUAAAA